UAAGAUUAUUUAUUAAGGCAGUUUAUAGGAAUUUUUCAGAGAAAAACUAGGAAGAGUAGAAUAAAUAACAGUUUGGAAGUGGAGAGAUUAAAGUUUAGCUGGUACACUUUAAUCGAAGAAACACUGGGAACAAGAUUCUGUAGUCCUGACUUCAGAGGGAACUAAUUAAAAUGGCUAGAUUCUGGCAGGCAUGGGCAUUUCUUCUCCUAUACACAUAUCCUUGUCUUUGUUUUCUAUCAUUAAGUUAAUAUUGAUCAUAAAAUUAUACUUAUGCAGAACUUGUUUGACUUUCUACAUACGAUAGAUUUCCCCUUGAGAUAAAAUUCAUUAACACCCAAAUGCAGAAAUAUUUGCAACACCCUCUCAUUUAAAUCUUGAAUUCCACUUUCUUUAUUAUUCAUGUUUUUUAAAGUUUUGAUAGAAACAUAUAAAAUAUCAAUUUCUUCUUUGCAUCUAUUGAGCAAAAGAUUUGGCUUCAGUACGCAGAAGUUGCUUCAUAAUCUUGAGCUCCACUUUCCUUUUGACAGAGCUUUGAAAACUUCUGUGUUAAUUAUGCUCCCUCUCAGUGGACUCAGGGAAGUAGCAUGUCAGGUAUGUAUUGAAGUCCUUGACUUAAAGAUGUUCAGGAGAGUGAACCAGCAGGUGACUCUUGCACAGUCAGGGGAAGAUGAUUUCCUGCUUUCUGAAGGCCUUUUAAAGGCCAAAACCCUGCACUUCUGUUGAGUGUGUCUGUGCUCUAAGUAGUCCUGUAAAUACCUCUCUUAGUAAAGUGUAUUGUGUUUAGAGAAACAUUUCUAAACACUUUGAGAGUCUCUAAGGGCUUUAGAUUUACUCUGCAGAUGUAACCUCUCAUACAGCCCUCGGCAGAAGAAUCAUGUGUAAGGCAACAGCAGGCAUAGAAUUUGUUCUUGUUCUUAAUCUUCAUAUAAAAAUAUACAUUUUUACUGUGAUUUAAAUAGCUUUAAAUAAGUACUUAAGAAUAAGAAAUAGGAUGUGAUAGAGACCAUCAUUUUAGUUUCUGAGUUUGCUCAACUGGGAAUUUUACUUUGAGAAUGUUAGUUCUUCCUGGUUGGACAUUUUCAUAUCUGCUCUGUGAACAGAAAUUUAACCAAACUCAUCUUUAACUUCUUCCAUUCACAGGGAAAACAUUGUGGUGUCGUGUCUUGUUAGGUUAUUCCUAAUCACACUUAUUUCUCUUCAUUUACUAAGGGAAUCACAGUACUUCUUGUAUAUACAAUACUAUUUUAUUAUAACCAUUGUGACAGGAGUGAAUAUGUUCUAAAGAGAUGCUUAUGCAUCUCCAUAUGGCUAUCAUAAUAUUGAAAUGAUACAUCCCAAGAAAUUGGAAUAUCCCCCAGGAGCAUCACGCUUUAAACACAGUAUCUUGGAUGCCCAGCCACCAAUGAGUCAAUCCAUGUCUUAUUGCCUUGGCUGACUCUGAAGACAUGAAAAGAACCUGGUGAGGUGGUACACACUUUCCAGAGAACUAUGAGACUGAAGCAAAAACUAAAAUGAUGAAGAAAUAGAAACCAAGAUAAAAAACACCAAACACAAAACAAUAACAAAAAUAAACAAUAACAAAUGAUAGAGAGAGAGGAGAAGACAGCUGACUCAACCAUGGGUUUAUCUUAACUCUCAACAAAUGGCUGAUGGAGGCAGAGACAGACACCCACUGCUGUGAACCGAAU